CCUACGGGGUGCAGCAGUGGGGAAUAUUGCACAAUGGGCGCAAGCCUGAUGCAGCCAUGCCGCGUGUAUGAAGAAGGCCUUCGGGUUGUAAAGUACUUUCAGCGGGGAGGAAGGGAGUAAAGUUAAUACCUUUGCUCAUUGACGUUACCCGCAGAAGAAGCACCGGCUAACUCCGUGCCAGCAGCCGCGGUAAUACGGAGGGUGCAAGCGUUAAUCGGAAUUACUGGGCGUAAAGCGCACGCAGGCGGUUUGUUAAGUCAGAUGUGAAAUCCCCGGGCUCAACCUGGGAACUGCAUCUGAUACUGGCAAGCUUGAGUCUCGUAGAGGGGGGUAGAAUUCCAGGUGUAGCGGUGAAAUGCGUAGAGAUCUGGAGGAACACCAGUGGCGAAGGCGGCCUGCUGGACAUUAACUGACGCUGAGGAGCGAAAGCGUGGGGAGCAAACAGGAUUAGAUACCCGGGUAGUC
rnacentral:rRNA from 1 species